GAAGCCUGGAGCAUCUAAUCCAUGUGCUGGAAUCCUUUGAGUUCCUCUGCAUAUGUUAGUUAAUGAAUGAUUCCAGGGUAGUACUUAAGGCUGAAACCUGGGUUCCUGUCUAAGGAUAUUUCCUUCAUAUUUGUGAACCACGUGAUUGAAGCUGGAGUCUUCUAUGAAGGUCAUUGGAGAAUGGUCCAUCAUUCAAUACACAACAGAAAUCAUGCUCCAACUCAGCACCCUUGUUUCUGAAGUAGACCAAAUCAACACACACAGUGUCCCUGAUGCACCAACCUCUGUCAAAAAUCCUCCCAAAUCCUGUCUGCCAAAAGUGCCUUUUUUCCCCCAAGAGUCUUCUAAUUGCACAUGAUCUCACUAGGAUCACAGAAGGGGAUGAGUGUAAACAGUGUAUUGUUAUACUGUUUGUGCUGUUUUCCAGUGUUUAUCAAUAAUAUCCUCAAAGCAAUGCUGGGGAAAUUUGUCCUAGAGUUUAUUUUUUAAUCUAUUCACCAUUCAUGGAGACCCAUGACAUCCUGAAUCUCUCACUUUCCUCAUCUUCAGAGAAUCUGGUUAGAACUGUGAAGUCCCAGUUAGUUGGAAAAAGUCCCUUUAACUUGGAAAAAUAUAUAAUCUACACCUCACUGAGUAUGUCUUCAUGAAAAUGUCCCCAGCUGAAUGAAAUUAGGAUGUCAGGAAUGGAGAGCUUGUGACAGUUAAACUCGCACUUGGGGGAAUAGUGCCACUUCGAGGGGGCAGUGCUUUGAUAUUUAUAUAGAGCUGAAAAGCUAUUUGAGGAAAGCUAAGAAGUUUCAAUUAAGACUGUGACGUCUUAGCUGGGAGUUCUUCAUCUCACAAUUCUAGUUCAACUUUUCCUACCAUCCUAGUUUAAAGAAUACUAAUGCUGACUCAAUGUCAUGUCUAGGUCUUGACAUUUCCUGUUCCAAUUACUGCUAAAUUUGAUCAUAUUUAUGUAAUAACAUUACACAUGCAUUUGGUUUCUGUUUCAUUAUGCAGAAAGAUUAAAAUGUCAUUUUUAUUUUUCUUAUUUCCAUGCAGGCCCAGAAACAAUGACAGACAAUUUCAGAGGGACAAAUGAAGUUUAUGCAAAUGACCCGAAUGCUUUUCCUCUCAGAAAUCUACCACCGUCUCUCUACCAGAUUCUGGACAGCAACACCAUCCAACCAGAUCCUAUCUACCAAAGUCUCAUGCAUUAAACCUAACAACAAAUUUUGUCUGCCAAAGUGGGAAAUAAAGCUGAUAACUUUUCUAUUAAACUGGACUGGUCUGGAUCCCAAAGAGAUCAGAUUUACUUCACACAAUUUACUUCCAUGCUAAUCAAGAAUGUUUCAGUCCCUCAAAAUGUAUUUAAUGAACACUAAACAUUUAUUGUUGUAGUAUUCUUGUUUUGGUAUUUUUUUCAUCAUUAAUGAUAAUUUAGAUAAUUUAUUUUCUACUUUAAUCAUUUAAUCAUUUCAAUAAAAUUAUUUUGCAUA